CACAUUAAGUUCACUCAACAAUCUUGUCUUCAUCUAAAUUGUGUUGUUAAGAAAAACAUGGCAUCAUCCUCCAAGACUUUUCUUCUUCUUGGCUUUAUGUUUGCUCUUGUGAUCCUCAUCUCCUCUGAGGUCUCAGCUCGUGAGCUAGUGGAAACUGCUAGUCAAGUUGCUAGUAGACCCUAUUUUGAACGCGGGCCAGUCACAGGGUAUCGCUCCCCCCCACCCCCCCCGGGAGAGUAUAGGCACGACCAAGGCCACCAUGAAAAACCAGGACUUGGUGUUGCUGAGACUGAAACUGGGAAUUAAAUAGAUAACCCUUUUUCAGUGGAUAUUGCAGGUACUAUGUGGUAAUAUAAUAAGGAUUUGUUUUAUCAAUUAUAAAGGUUAAUGUAAUGUAUUGGUUGAGUUGUUAAUAAAACUCUCAAUCAUAAUUAAUUAGGAUUUUAAGGUUUAUCUUUGUACUAGUACUCAUAUCAUACUGUCUAGGAUAUGUGGCUUUUUACCUUUAUAUAUACGUUUGAAAUCUAUCCUAGCAAUUUCUUUUUCCAUAA